rnacentral:lncRNA from 1 species
CCUAGGGCUUGGACAAAACGUCUAGAGCCACAGCAUUCCUAGCUGGCUCUCCCCUUGAACACUGAGCAGAAGGCUGGGGCUGAGGGAGGCAGAGUAGAGGGGAAGGCAGGCUGGAAGAGAGGCAGGGACAGGGAGAGACGAGGCCGGGGUAGGAGCUCCGAGACUGGGGGUGAGGGGGAUGAUGGGCCAGGGGGAAAAAGUGUGAAGGUGGGAGGGCGGAGUGGGUACAGCAACCUGGCUAAGGUGGGAGAAAGGUGAGGGACAGGGAGGCUGCGAUUUAAGGUGCCAUAGUAGGAAGAGGAAUGCUAGGCGGGUUGAAGACGAGGGACAAGGUGAGGAGAAAUGUCACAUGGAGGAGGAGGAGGAGGAGGAGGAGGAAGAGAAGGCCAGGACGGAAGAUAAAGGGGUGAAGAAGGACUGGGAGAAAGUCAUGUGAUUCUAGGCUGGAAGGGAUUUAAAUAAACAGAAAUACACAACUUUUCCUGCAUGGAAAAACUGUAUGAGUGUAGGAGGCUGAAGAAGAUGUCUCAAACAAGUAUAAGAAAUAUACUAGUCUGGAGGUGAAACAGGUAGCAAGAGAACAAAAAUGUUGGCAGAAAAAGAGUUCACUAUUCCAGCUUCAGGAGUGGAGAGUCUUUUUUUGUUGUUGCUUUUCCUGCCAUGGAUGUAAUGCUGCUUUGGACAGCGGCCGACGUCCAAUCAGACAACAGAACCGUCGGCUUUGUCAUAACGACAACCAUGACAUCACUGCAAGGGCUCGCGGAAAGAAGACAGCGGAGCUCCAGACAGACAGCGGGGCUCCACUGGGCUGCACGUCGGACAAAGCGAGCCGGCUGCCGGGUAGAAACGGCGCGGACUACCGGGGAUGGGGGAACACGCGGAGGGUGCCGUUUGGACGUUUCACGGCCGGCGUCGGGAGCUCUGUCCCGGACAAGUUGGGGCUUCCUCGCCGGGGGAAAGCGACAGGAAGAUAUGGAGGAGGUUGAAAUGGCAUCUUGUUUAAUUUCUGCCAAUCAAGACGAGAGGAGGACAACUCCCAAACUGGCAAAAGUGCUGUGUGCAGUAGAACGGGGGAUUUGGUGCCAUCAGCACGGUGAUGUCAGCACACAGGGACAAACAAAGCCAGAAUCUCAACCCUCUCCCAACUACCCACAAUCCCCCUGGACACUGUGGGGGGCCCUGCCUGGAGGCCCACUGCCGUUAACACACACACCCAUGUUAACACAGGAUCACACACUCAGAAUCGCAGAAAUUAACACACAAGCAGUUGCAUUCACAAUGUCGACGCACACACACACACACACACGCACACACACACACACACACACACAUGCUACUCAUACACACAUUGAUACAUACAUGUAGUAUAGGUGGCGUAAACUCAGGCCUUAUAUACUGUAUAUGCAAACAUGUGCUCAUUAUUCAUACAUGUCCACUGAAAUGUACAACAGUAUCAGUACACAUACAUGUAGAAACAUAUUGUAUAACUUGUCAUCACUGCACCAAUUCUUGGUCAUUUGGUUUAUACAUAGCUU